CAGCAGCCGCGGUAAUACGUAGGGUGCGAGCGUUAAUCGGAAUUACUGGGCGUAAAGCGUGCGCAGGCGGUUAUAUAAGUCAGAUGUGAAAUCCCCGGGCUCAACCUGGGAACUGCAUUUGAGACUGUAUGGCUAGAGUGUGUCAGAGGGGGGUAGAAUUCCACGUGUAGCAGUGAAAUGCGUAGAUAUGUGGAGGAAUACCGAUGGCGAAGGCGGCCAUCUGGGACAACACUGACGCUGAGGCACGAAAGCGUGGGGAGCAAACAGGAUUAGAUACCCCUGUAGUCCCUGUCUCUUAUAA
rnacentral:rRNA from 1 species